GAGAUGCAAUGAAAGGACUGCAGACUUCAAACAUAUAUGGUGGGAUUGCACGAAAAUCAGACCUUUAUGGGAUGAGUUAAACCAAUAUUUGUCAUCUUUAUUAGAAACAAGGAUUGUAUGGCUCUAUUACAUAUGGAUAUGGCGAGCAUCAAUAAACAAUCUAGAUCCAUUAUUUUACAUAUCCUAAUGGCUGUCAAAACCUCAAUAGCCAGGAACUGG